rnacentral:piRNA from 1 species
AACGAAAUAAUUUUAUGGUUGGGG